rnacentral:antisense_RNA from 1 species
GUGGGAGGGGGCUUGCUCCCGAAGGCAUCGUGUCAGUCGGCAUCAGAUUGGCUGAACCACCGCUUUCGGGAGCAAGCCCCCUCCCAC